GUGGGGAAUUUUGGACAAUGGGCGCAAGCCUGAUCCAGCAAUGCCGCGUGCAGGAAGAAGGCCUUCGGGUUGUAAACUGCUUUUGUACGGAACGAAACGGCUCUGGUUAAUACCUGGGGCUAAUGACGGUACCGUAAGAAUAAGCACCGGCUAACUACGUGCCAGCAGCCGCGGUAAUACGUAGGGUGCGAGCGUUAAUCGGAAUUACUGGGCGUAAAGCGUGCGCAGGCGGUUUUGUAAGACAGACGUGAAAUCCCCGGGCUCAACCUGGGAAUGGCGUUUGUGACUGCAAAGCUGGAGUGCGGCAGAGGGGGAUGGAAUUCCGCGUGUAGCAGUGAAAUGCGUAGAUAUGCGGAGGAACACCGAUGGCGAAGGCAAUCCCCUGGGCCUGCACUGACGCUCAUGCACGAAAGCGUGGGGAGCAAACAGGAUUAGAAACCCCAGUAGUCC
rnacentral:rRNA from 1 species